rnacentral:rRNA from 1 species
AGAGUUUGAUCCUGGCUCAGAACGAACGCUGGCGGCGCGUUUUAAGCAUGCAAGUCGAACGGGAACCUUGUCUUCGGACGAGGGGAUAGUGGCGAACGGGUGAGUAACACGUAGGUGAUCUGUCCUUGGAGUGGGGGAUAGCCCAUGGAAACAUGGGGUAAUACCGCAUGAGGUCUUGGAACUAUGGUUCUUAGAUGAAAGGAGCAAAUGUUCCGCUUUGGGAUGAGCCUGCGGUCCAUUAGCUAGUUGGUAGGGUAAAGGCCUACCAAGGCUACGAUGGAUAGCCGGCCUGAGAGGGUGAACGGUCACACUGGGACUGAGACACGGCCCAGACUCCUACGGGAGGCAGCAGCUAAGAAUCUUCCGCAAUGGGGGAAACCCUGACGGAGCGACGCCGCGUGGACGAUGAAGGCCUAGAAGUUGUAAAGUCCUUUUGCAGACGAAGAAUAAGGCAAGGAGUGGAAUGCCUUGCUGAUGACGUUAGUCUUGCGAAUAAGCCCCGGCCAAUUACGUGCCAGCAGCCGCGGUAACACGUAUGGGGCGAGCGUUGUUCGGAAUUAUUGGGCGUAAAGGGCGCGUAGGCGGUGCUAUAAGCUUGGUGUGAAAUCCCCCGGCCUAACUGGGGAAUAGCGCUGAGAACUGUAGUGCUUGAGUUCUGGAGAGGAAGCUGGAAUUCCUGGUGUAGGGGUGAAAUCUGUAGAUAUCAGGAAGAACACCGGUGGCGAAGGCGGGCUUCUGGCCAGAAACUGACGCUGAGGCGCGAAAGCGUGGGGAGCGAACAGGAUUAGAUACCCUGGUAGUCCACGCUGUAAACGAUGUGCACUGGGUGUCGGGGCUUUAAUGGGUCUCGGUGCCUUAGUUAACGCGAUAAGUGCACCGCCUGGGGAGUAUGCUCGCAAGGGUGAAACUCAAAGGAAUUGACGGGGGCCCGCACAAGCGGUGGAGCAUGUGGUUUAAUUCGACGAUACGCGAGGAACCUUACCAGGGCUUGACAUGUACCUGAUGGUCCGUGAGAGCAGGCUUUCUCUUCUGGGACGGGUACACAGGUGCUGCAUGGUUGUCGUCAGCUCGUGUCGUGAGAUGUUGGGUUUCCCGCAACGAGCGCAACCCCUACUGUCUGUUGCCAGCAUUAAGUUGGGGACUCGGACGGAACUGCCGGUGACAAACCGGAGGAAGGUGGGGAUGACGUCAAAUCAUCAUGGCCCUUAUGUCCUGGGCUACACACGUGCUACAAUGGCAGGUACAGCGCGCAGGAGCGAAACGGUGACGUGGAGCCAAUCGCUAAAAGCCUGCCUCAGUUCGGAUUGGAGUCUGAAACUCGACUCCAUGAAGGUGGAAUCGCUAGUAAUCGCGCAUCAGCAUGGCGCGGUGAAUACGUUCCCGGGCCUUGUACACACCGCCCGUCACACCACCCGAGUUGGGGGUACCCGAAGUCGCUUGUCUAACCCAUUUAUGGGACGACGGCGCCGAAGGUAUGCCUGGUAAGGGGGGUGAAGUCGUAACAAGGUA